GGUGAACGCUGGCGGCGUGCUUAAGACAUGCAAGUCGAACGGCAGUCUUCGGACUGUAGUGGCGCACGGGUGAGUAACGCGUAACUGACCUACCCCAAAGUCGCGGAUAACGAUUCGAAAGAAUCGCUAAUACGUGAUGUGCUGUCAGAUUGUGUUCUGCCAGUAAAGAUUGAUUGCUUUGGGAUGGGUUUGCGUUCCAUCAGCUAGUUGGUGGGGUAAAGGCCCACCAAGGCGACGACGGAUAGCCGGCCUGAGAGGGUGGCCGGCCACAGGGGCACUGAGACACGGGUCCCACUCCUACGGGAGGCAGCAGUUAGGAAUCUUCCACAAUGGGCGAAAGCCUGAUGGAGCGACGCCGCGUGAGGGAUGAAGGUCUUCGGAUCGUAAACCUCUGAAUCAGGGACGAAAGACACUUCGGUGGGAUGACGGUACCUGAGUAAUAGCACCGGCUAACUCCGUGCCAGCCGCCGCCGUAAUAC
rnacentral:rRNA from 1 species